rnacentral:rRNA from 1 species
AUUGAACGCUGGCGGCAGGCUUAACACAUGCACGUCGAACGAGUGGCGGAAGGGUGAGCAAUGCUUGGGAAUCUGGCCUAUGGAGGGGGAUAACGACGGGCAACUGUCUCUACUACCGCGUACCAUAGGAUGAGUCCAAGUGGGAUUAGGUAGUUGGUGGGGUAAUGGCCUGCCAAGCCGACGAUCUCUAGCUGGUCUGAGAGGAUUACCAGCCACACUGGGACUGAGAAAACGCCCGGAUCCCGACGUAGGGCAGCAGUGGGGAAUAGGGCGCAAUGGGGGCAAUCUGAGGCAGCAAUUCCGCGUGAAUGAAGGAGGCCUGCGGGUUGUAAAGUUCUUUCGGGGACGAGGCGUUAUUAACAGAAGAAGCACCGGCUAAAUCCGUGCCAGCCGCCGCGGUAAUUC